rnacentral:tRNA from 1 species
GGCCUGAUAGCUCAACAGGUAGAGCACUGCACUGGCAUCGCAGAGGUCAGGGUUAAAGUCCCUGCAUUCAGGCCC